GAAUGUAUGAAUGAAUGAAUGAAUGGG
rnacentral:piRNA from 1 species